AUUGAACGCUGGCGGAAUGCUUUACACAUGCAAGUCGAACGGCGGCACGGGUGCUUGCACCUGGUGGCGAGUGGCGAACGGGUGAGUAAUAUAUCGGAACGUAUCCAAUAAUGGGGGAUAACUAAUCGAAAGGUUGGCUAAUACCGCAUACGCCCUACGGGGGAAAGCUAGGGACCUUCGGGCCUGGCGUUAAUGGAGCGGCCGAUAUCUGAUUAGCUAGUUGGUGGGGUAAUGGCCUACCAAGGCGACGAUCAGUAGCUGGUCUGAGAGGACGACCAGCCACACUGGAACUGAGACACGGUCCAGACUCCUACGGGAGGCAGCAGUGGGGAAUUUUGGACAAUGGGCGCAAGCCUGAUCCAGCCAUUCCGCGUGAGUGAAGAAGGCCUUCGGGUUGUAAAGCUCUUUCGCAAGGGAAGAAAACUUAUCCUCUAACAUAGGAUGAGGUUGACGGUACCUUGAUAAGAAGCACCGGCUAACUACGUGCCAGCCGCCGCUUAAUAC
rnacentral:rRNA from 1 species